rnacentral:rRNA from 1 species
GAUGAACGCUGGCGGCGUGCCUAAUACAUGCAAGUCGAGCGAACGGACGAGAAGCUUGCUUCUCUGAUGUUAGCGGCGGACGGGUGAGUAACACGUGGAUAACCUACCUAUAAGACUGGGAUAACUUCGGGAAACCGGAGCUAAUACCGGAUGAUAUUUUGAACCGCAUGGUUCAAAAGUGAAAGACGGUCUUGCUGUCACUUAUAGAUGGAUCCGCGCUGCAUUAGCUAGUCGGUAAGGUAACGGCUUACCAAGGCAACGAUGCAUAGCCGACCUGAGAGGGUGAUCGGCCACACUGGAACUGAGACACGGUCCAGACUCCUACGGGAGGCAGCAGUAGGGAAUCUUCCACAAUGGGCGAAAGCCUGACGGAGCAACGCCGCGUGAGUGAUGAAGGUCUUCGGAUCGUAAAACUCUGUUAUUAGGGAAGAACAUAUGUGUAAGUAACUGUGCACAUCUUGACGGUACCUAAUCAGAAAGCCACGGCUAACUACGUG